GAUGAACGCUAGCGGCGUGCCUAAUACAUGCAAGUCGAGCGAAUGGAUUAAGAGCUCGCUCUUAUGAAGUUAGCGGCAGACGGGUGAGUAACACGUGGGUAACCUGCCCAUAAGACUGGGAUAACUCCGGGAAACCGGGGCUAAUACCGGAUAACAUUUUGAACCGCAUGGUUCGAAAUUGAAAGGCGGCUUCGGCUGUCACUUAUGGAUGGGCCCGCGUCGCAUUAGCUAGUUGGUGAGGUAACGGCUCACCAAGGCAACGAUGCGUAGCCGACAUGGAAGGGUGAUCGGCCACACUGGGACUGAGACACGGCCCAGACUCCUACGGGGGGCAGCAGUAGGGAAUCUUCCGCAAUGGACGAAAGUCUGACGGAGCAACGCCGCGUGAGUGAUGAAGGCUUUCGGGUCGUAAAACUCUGUUGUUAGGGAAGAACAAGUGCUAGUUGAAUAAGCUGGCACCUUGACGGUACCUAACCAGAAAGCCACGGCUAACUACGUGCCAGCCGCCGCGGUAA
rnacentral:rRNA from 1 species